rnacentral:misc_RNA from 1 species
GAUGAAGAACGUAGCGAAAUGCGAUAAGUAAUGUGAAUUGCAGAAUUCAGUGAAUCAUCGAAUCUUUGAACGCACCUUGCGCCCUUUGGCCAUUCCGAAGGGCAUGCCUGUUUGAGUAUCAUGAACACCUCAACUCUUCAUGGUUUUCCGUGAUGAGCUUGGACUUUGGGGGUCUUGCUGGACUAUGGUCAGCUCCUCUAAAAUAAAUCAGCUUGCCAGUGUUUGGUGGGUAUCACAGGUGUGAUAACUAUCUACGCUUGUGGUUUUCCACCAGGUAACCUUCAGCAGUGGAGGUUCGCUGGAGCUCACAGAUGUGUCUCUCCUCAGUGAGGACAGCUCUUUGAAUGUUUGAUCUCAAAUCAGGUAGGACUACCCGCUGAACUUAAGCAUAUCAAUAAGCGGAGGA